AGUGAACGCUGGCGGUAGGCCUAACACAUGCAAGUCGAACGGCAGCACAGUAAGAGCUUGCUCUUACGGGUGGCGAGUGGCGGACGGGUGAGGAAUACAUCGGAAUCUACUUUUUCGUGGGGGAUAACGUAGGGAAACUUACGCUAAUACCGCAUACGACCUACGGGUGAAAGCAGUGGAUCUUCGGACCUUUCGCGAUUGAAUGAGCCGAUGUCGGAUUAGCUAGUUGGCGGGGUAAAGGCCCACCAAGGCGACGAUCCGUAGCUGGUCUGAGAGGAUGAUCAGCCACACUGGAACUGAGACACGGUCCAGACUCCUACGGGAGGCAGCAGUGGGGAAUAUUGGGCAAUGGGCGCAAGCCUGAUCCAGCCAUACCGCGUGGGUGAAGAAGGCCUUCGGGUUGUAAAGCCCUUUUGUUGGGAAAGAAAAGCAGCAGGUUAAUACCCCGCUGUUCUGACGGUACCCAAAGAAUAAGCACCGGCUAACUUCGUG
rnacentral:rRNA from 1 species